rnacentral:rRNA from 1 species
GAUGAACGCUGGCGGCGUGCCUAAUACAUGCAAGUCGAGCGAACGGACGAGAAGCUUGCUUCUCUGAUGUUAGCGGCGGACGGGUGAGUAACACGUGGAUAACCUACCUAUAAUACUGGGAUAACUUCGGGACACCGGCGCUAAUACCGUAUGAUAUUUUGCACCGCAUUGUUCAAAAGUGAAAGACGGUCUUGCUGUCACUUAUAGAUGGAUCCGCGCUGCAUUAGCUAGUUGGUAAGUUAACGGCUUACCAAGGCAAGCAUGCAUAGCCGACCUGAGAGGGUGAUAGGCGACCUGGGAACGGAGACAGGGACAAGAGGACUAAGGGAGGGAGCAGAAGGGAAUGUGAGGCAGUGGGCGAAAGCAUGACAGAACAAGGCGGAGUGAGAGAUAAAGGUGUUCGGAGCGUAAAAAUCGGUUAUGAGGGAAGAACAGAUGUGGAAGGAGAUGUGGAGAGAGUGACGGUAAUUAAUAAGAAAGCAACGGCUAACUACGUG